AAGUGAGGCCCGACGGCUGUAAAGACUGCUAAUCUUUUACCCCCAAAGUUAAACCCCUUGGCUCACUUA
rnacentral:tRNA from 1 species